rnacentral:lncRNA from 1 species
AUGAUACUUGUAUAUUGUGAACCGUUAAUCGUGAGAGCCAACUGCGGAGAGAUGAAACCUUAUGUUAUGUGAAGAAAUCAAUUGAAUUAAACCUGAUGACGAUCCCUCAUGAUUAUCGUUAAAAUUCGGCCUUAGGUUUUGAUGUUUCACGUUCACCAUUUCAAAUUAUAUAGAUAGAUUGAUACAGCAAUUAAAGGGCCAAGAGAGGGAGAGAAACAAAUUAAAUAAAAAAGACUUGUUGAUUAGCUUUCAUCUUUCUUCCUUCGUAGGAGGGCAGAUGAGAUCAUCUUCAUGGAGAAGCCAAUGGAAUUAGAGAAAGAUAAGUGAAAAUGAAGUCUAAGAUGGGAGAAUUAGAAUUGUUGGGAGGGAAUACGAAAAUUUUUAGGGAAUCACAUUGGACUAUAGGAGGGAAAACACAUUUUUAG